AUUGGAGAGCUUGCUUUCCAUGAGAGUGGCGCACGGGUGCGUAACACGUAUGUAACCUACCUUUAUCAGGGGGAUAGCCUCUCGAAAGAGAGAUUAAGCCCGCAUAACAUCAAACCACAGCAUUUUGGAUUGAUCAAAUAUUUAUAGGAUAAAGAUGGGCAUGCGGAACAUUAGCUAGUUGGUAAGGUAAUGGCUUACCAAGGCGACGAUGUUUAGGGGAUCUGAGAGGAUGACCCCCCACACUGGUACUGAGACACGGACCAGACUCCUACGGGAGGCAGCAGUAAGGAAUAUUGGUCAAUGGGCGGAAGCCUGAACCAGCCAUGCCGCGUGCAGGAAGACGGCCCUACGGGUUGUAAACUGCUUUUGCAGGGGAAUAAACCCCCCAACGUGUUGGGGGUUGAAUGUACUCUGAGAAUAAGGAUCGGCUAACUCCGUGCCAGCAGCCGCGGUAAUACGGAGGAUCCGAGCGUUAUCCGGAUUUAUUGGGUUUAAAGGGUGCGUAGGCGGCCUAUUAAGUCAGGGGUGAAAGACGGUAGCUUAACUAUCGCAGUGCCUUUGAUACUGAUGGGCUUGAAUGUAGUUGAGGUAGGCGGAAUGUGACAAGUAGCGGUGAAAUGCAUAGAUAUGUCACAGAACACCAAUUGCGAAGGCAGCUUACUAAAGUAUGAUUGACGCUGAGGCACGAAAGCGUGGGGAUCGAACAGGAUUAGAUACCCUGGUAGUCCACGCCCUAAACGAUGAACACUCGAUGUUGGCGAUAUACAGUCAGCGUCAAAGCGAAAGCGUUAAGUGUUCCACCUGGGGAGUACGCCCGCAAGGGUGAAACUC
rnacentral:rRNA from 1 species